rnacentral:rRNA from 1 species
GGGGAAUCUUCCGCAAUGGACGAAAGUCUGACGGAGCAACGCCGCGUGAGUGAUGACGGCCUUCGGGUUGUAAAGCUCUGUUAAUCGGGACGAAAGGCCUUCUUGCGAAUAGUUAGAAGGAUUGACGGUACCGGAAUAGAAAGCCACGGCUAACUACGUGCCAGCAGCCGCGGUAAUACGUAGGUGGCAAGCGUUGUCCGGAAUUAUUGGGCGUAAAGCGCGCGCAGGCGGAUUGGUCAGUCUGUCUUAAAAGUUCGGGGCUUAACCCCGUGAUGGGAUGGAAACUGCCAAUCUAGAGUAUCGGAGAGGAAAGUGGAAUUCCUAGUGUAGCGGUGAAAUGCGUAGAUAUUAGGAAGAACACCAGUGGCGAAGGCGACUUUCUGGACGAAAACUGACGCUGAGGCGCGAAAGCCAGGGGAGCGAACGGGAUUAGAUACCCCGGUAGUCCUGGCCGUAAACGAUGGGUACUAGGUGUAGGAGGUAUCGACCCCUUCUGUGCCGGAGUUAACGCAAUAAGUACCCCGCCUGGGGAGCACGACCGCAAGGUUG